rnacentral:ncRNA from 1 species
GUAUUUAUAUAGUAAGAAAUAUUUAGAAUUUAAAGCUCUUUAUGUUAAGAAUUCAAAGUUUAAGAAUAGAAGAUAGAUUUAAAUUUUUGAAAUUCAAAAAUAGGUUUUAAUAAAAUUCCGGCUAAGCCUGUGCCAGCCGCCGCGGUUAUACAGGCGGGGUGAAAAUAUUUUUUUUAAAAAAUUAAUAAAUUUUUUUAAAUAGUUAAAAUUAGGUGAAAUUAUUUUAAAAGGUUAUUUUUUUGAAUUUUAAAAAUUUGUUUUAAGACUAGGAUUAGAUACCCUAUUAUAAAAUAGAGUUAAAUUGAGAGUAAUUUGAAGGUUAUGAAAUCAAAAAAUUUUGGCGGUAUUUUAAGCUUUUUAAAGGAAUUUAUUCUAUAAUUGAUAAGACUCAAAAAUCUUACUUAGUUUAGUUAAUCAGUUUGUAUAUCGCUAUCAUUAAAUAAUAUUGUUAAAUUAUUAUUAAAAUUAAUUUUUUUAAGAAUGUUAGGUCAAAAUGCAGCUUAAAGCUAAGGUUGAAAUAAAUUACGUUAAUUUUUAUUGGAAUAAGGUGAAAUUUAGGUAUAGGAUUUAAAAGUAAAUUAAAGUUAUAAUAUUUAAUUGAAAAAAGCUCUGAAAUAUGCACAUAUCGCCCGUCACUCUCAGUAAUGAGAUAAGUCGUAACAAAGUAAAGGUACCGGAAGGUGUUUU